GCCUGGGUGGCUCAGUCGGUUGAGCGUCCGACUUCGGCUCGGGUCACGAUCUCACGGUUCAUGGGUUCAAGCCCCGCGUCAGGCU
rnacentral:tRNA from 1 species